CCCUUAGAUGUUCUGGGCCGCACGCGCGCUACACUGAUUCAUGCAACAAGUUUUGUCCUUGGCUGAUAGGCCUGGGUAAUCUUUGAACGUGAAUCGUGAUGGGGAUAGAUGAUUGCAAUUAUUCAUCUUCAACGAGGAAUUCCUAGUAAACGCAAGUCAUCAGCUUGCAUUGAUUACGUCCCUGCCCUUUGUACACACCGCCCGUCGCACCUACCGAUUGAAUGGUCCGGUGAAAUCUUCGGACCUGAGAGAUGUCUGAUUAAUUUCGGACGCCUUUUGGAAAAGUUGUUUAAACCUUACCAUUUAGAGGAAGGUGAAGUCGUAACA
rnacentral:rRNA from 1 species